rnacentral:rRNA from 1 species
CCGUGAGCGAAAUGUGAAAAGAACCCCGAGAGGGGAGAGAAAUAGAUUCUGAAACCAUUUACUUACAAGUAGUCAGAGCACGUUUAUGUGUGAUGGCGUACAUCUUGCAGUAUGGGCCGGCGAGUUAUGUUAAUAUGCAAGGUUAAGCAGAAAAAAGCGGAGCCGUAGGGAAACCGAGUCUGAAUAGGGCGACUUUAGUAUAUUGGCAUAUACCCGAAACCAGGUGAUCUAUCCAUG